GAUCAUGGCUCAGGACGAACGCUGGCGGCAUGCCUAACACAUGCAAGUCGAACGGAGCACCCUUGACUAAGUUUUCGGACGAGGGAGAGGAAUGCUUAGUGGCGGACGGGUGAGUAACGCGUGAGCAAUCUGCCUUUCAGAGGGGGACAACAGCUGGAAACGGCUGCUAAUACCGCAUAAUAUAUACUGGCCGCAUGACCGGUAUAUCAAAGAUUUAUCG
rnacentral:rRNA from 1 species